AUGCGAAAGCAGUUGAAAAUGAAUUCGAAAGAGUUUGGAAACAGACUUGAUUAGAAUUUGUUGUUCGUAAAAUCGUGGACGAUUGAGUAAUCGUUAAUUGUUUAUUUUUUACAUGGCCUUGUCAAGCGG
rnacentral:misc_RNA from 1 species